rnacentral:rRNA from 1 species
GUCGGUUAAAUACCGACCUGCAUGAAUGGCGUAACGAGAUGGGAGCUGUCUCAAAGAGGGAUCCAGUGAAAUUGUAGUGGAGGUGAAAAUUCCUCCUACCCGCGGCAAGACGGAAAGACCCCGUGGACCUUUACUACAGCUUGACACUGCUAUUUGGAUAAGAAUGUGCAGGAUAGGUGGGAGGCUUUGAGUAUAUGACGCCAGUUGUAUAUGAGCCAUUGUUGAGAUACCACUCUUUCUUAUUUGGGUAGCUAACCAGCUUGAGUUAUCCUCAAGUGGGACAAUGUCUGGUGGGUAGUUUGACUGGGGCGGUCGCCUCCCAAAUAAUAACGGAGGCUUACAAAGGUUGGCUCAGAACGGUUGGAAAUCGUUCGUAGAGUAUAAAGGUAUAAGCCAGCUUAACUGCAAGACAUACAAGUCAAGCAGAGACGAAAGUCGGUCUUAGUGAUCCGGUGGUUCUGUGUGGAAGGGCCAUCGCUCAAAGGAUAAAAGGUACCCCGGGGAUAACAGGCUGAUCUCCCCCAAGAGCUCACAUCGACGGGGAGGUUUGGCACCUCGAUGUCGGCUCAUCGCAUCCUGGGGCUGGAGCAGGUCCCA